UUAUUCAACCACUGGCUCCUUCCAAUCAUACGUUUAAAGAUUUCACACGGACAACACACAAUCCUGCCACGUGUCACCACGCAUUUCAGUCUCCAUGUGCAUUCUUAGAAACCCUCCCUCUCUUGCAGCCGAUAUUCUGACAUAGAUAUUUCAUCUUUUCCACUCUGUGCUCAAGCACUCGUCAGCCUUGCUACAUCCACAAGUUACUCAAUUACAUAUCACAGUAUUUGUUUCUUAAGAAAAGAUGAUCUGACAUGAAGAAAUCACGAUAAUUUACACUCAAAUUGCACAAUUGUUAUUUAUCGAUAAGAGUGAAGAAAUACAACUUAAAUUAUGAUUUGCAAACUUUUAAUUUCCAUCCAAAGGACGUUUCAUGUAAAGAAACUCGUCGCAGAUUACAUUUAACCUCACACAGGCAAUUCAAGAAUCAUUUCACAAUACAUAUUCUAAUACACAGAACAGCAAACCAUCUAAAAAGGUUUCAAUCUUCUUCAAUCCCUCUUCAAUUCAAUAAUUCACGAAAUCAAUCGUGCCGAUUGAUCGUAUUCUUCCACUGGAAAAAAAAUUUAUUUCGAAUGGUAAUAGUUAAAGUCUCGUUGAGAAACCGCGGCGGGUUCGAUAUUACACAAAUAUUUAAUACACCUUCGAAAGCUGUAUUAAGGAAUUUCAGAAGCUUGUUCUCAAGAAGAAUCAUCCUGAUUUUCAGACUGGUAACGUCACGUAACGAAUCUCGAAAUGGGAAAAGGGCCAGAGGAUCCGUGGUUGAAGGGUGUCGCAGCUCUCACGGCUUUCCGACGGCUGUCGUAGCGAAAGGGUUACAUGAAAACUCCUCGUCUCGACGACAAAGGGGGUCUUAUCUCGAAUUUCUAAAGUCCUACCUUCCUGUCUCUCGCAACGCUCGACGUUCCUUCACCCCUUAGUUACCUCGGCCCUUUUCAUCCCCGCGCAAACCUUUCACGGGAGGAUUCCUCGCUUGAGAUAUCGUUCGUUAUUAGCGGUGUUUCAUACGGUACAGCGGUGUAUCCUGAUAUUUUUUUCCCUUCUUUCUCACAGAGGUAUGCUGUCUUUUAAAGGAUCGCAACGUGAAGAAGAACGGUACCGACGAGUGCGAAACGCCAGGGGAGUUCGCGAUGCAAGAAAAAGUCGCUUCGGGUGAAGAUGCUGGUUAAUGAGUUCGAAUGUGAAAUUCCACGGGACGGUUCGGCGAAAGUCAGUGUGACUUGAUGGGCCGCCUACGUGUCCGGGGAGAGAAAAGAACCUUAGAUCCAAGACUCAGCGGUAGGAGGCCAGGAGAACGAAGAAAAAGAGAGAAGAAGGAAAGUGCAAACGGCCUAAGGGGGCCGCCGCUUUGCAUAAUCAAAUCCUGCGAUGAUGUAGCAGAAUGCGAAGUACCCCGUCGUCACUGGUGCGCCGAAAAAGGGGCUGAGAAUCCCGCGGGCACGCGAGUACUUCGAAAAAUGCAGCCUCGUGUUCCCUUCGCAGCCUUCGUUGCCUUUCGGUCAUAAGGCCGUAGCACCCCUUACUAGACAUCCAGCCCUUGCAGAAUUCCCAGAGUAACCCGGAAACAUCUACUCGUUUUGCGACAGACACCACGAAUUCUUGUUCCGCAGGGCUGACGUGGAAAGAAUGAAACUGAUGGUGGAGGAAGCAUGGCGAAGUUGAGGAACUAAGUCUGGGUUUAACGAAGAGUGAUGUUAGGUGUCUUGUAAGUUGUGCGAUGGGGUAUGUCGGUGAAUUUUAUGCUUUAUAUUUCCUUUGAAAUUGGUGUACCAUGCAAAAUAGUUGUAGCUACCAAAUUUUGAAUUUGAGACGUACUGUUGAAAUAUAUUGUCAUUUUAAAAUAAUUAUAUAUUUUAUAGUACCCAGAAAUUUGAAGCAGAACCUUUAAUUUAGAAUUGUGUAAUUUUAGUACUCAGAUCUUCAUUUCUGAAAAAGUAAUGUUCAAUUUGAGGAAUAUUAAUUUAAGGAAGAAUUUUAUAUUUCAUGAA